rnacentral:snoRNA from 1 species
ACGCAGGUGUCCAUUACGCGAAGACCAGUGUCUUACGACGUUUAGUUUAGCUUGCAAGAUAAAACUGACAUCUCGAAGACAGGAGUAUCGUUUCGUAGAGCUACUGUUCAAGAUUGGCAGACACUU